GGGGGAGGGGAGAAAAUAUAAGGAAAAUGGAUCAAAGGACCCACAACACUGUUUCUUGAAAUGUGGGUCCCACAACCCCACUUUCCUUUCAUUUUCUCUCACCUACCACUUUCCACCCUCUCCCAAACAAAGUGUAAAUAAUUACCGACUUUCAGGACCUUUUAUUAAAUACAAGGACUAACAAAAAACCUUAUAAUCUUAUAUUUUCAAAGCAGACCAAUAACAAUUUGAUCAUUUCACAAUAUAAGUAAUAUAAGUCGCAUGUACAAGAAAUCUGAUAAAACUUACGCAAGAUCCCCUCCUAUAAGA
rnacentral:misc_RNA from 1 species